GCGAAACAAAUGCCGACGAUCGCGCGCAUGUGCAAAUCGGGUGCGCAAUUUCACGUUGUCCUCUCUGUAUAUAUCAUAUUUUUAAUUUAUAUCCGGUAGUCAGUCCAAGGCAAACAUUAUCCGCAAUUAUAAUCAAUUAAUUAAUCAACAACAACAAUAAUAAUAAUAAUACUAAUAAUAAUGACGAUGAUCGCGUGACGACGAGAGAAUAUAAUCAUACAAUCGUAAUCGUACCUUAAAUCGUAACAAUACUCGGAAAAAUAAUCAUAACGAUAGUGACAAUGAUAUGAUUAUCGAUAAUGACAAUAAUAAUAAUAUCAAUAAUGUCAAUAAUAAUAAUAAUAAUAAUAAUAAUAAUAAUAAUAAUAAUAAUAAUAAUAAUAAAUACAGCUAAUAAUAGUUGUUUGUUUUAUUCGAUUAGUAUUUCGUGUUUCCUUUUUUUUUUUUGUAAAUUCUUUUCUUCUCUCUUUUCUUUUCAUUUAUUCGCUAUUUUUUGUUUUUUUGUUUUUGUUUUUCACUUGCUUUUUGCAUUUUACUAAUUUUUCACCGUCGAUAGAAAAUCGAAAGAAAUAGGUAAAUAACUAGCUUGCGCUACCAAUGUGACGAGAAUAAAAGAAACAAUAUAAAUAAAAUAAAAACAGAAGAGAAACGCAACAUUGACUGUGCAAGAACGAUGAUGAAUGUAAUAAUAUACGAAACGCGCGAUAGUCUCGCGAGUAUCGCGCGAAACGGAAAUGUUGAAUCAUUUCUCGUUAUCAACGUUAUCAGAUUUUUCCUCUCAUUUGUUAUCAUUAUUCGUUGUUGUUAUUAUUAUUAACAUUGCCACUAUUGUCGUCGUCGUUGCAAUUGAUGUAACAACGCGUACGCAAAGUUAUAACGCAGUAUAGACGCGGACGAUACGCGAGUGAGAUCGAAAAAACGUGGACGAAAAAAAAAACAUAAAAAAGAUAAGAAGAGACAUAAACAUAUAUAUAUAUAUAUGUACAUGUACAUACUUUUUUGCUUUUCAUUUCUCUCGUGUUUUACCGUCGUCCAGAUAAAAAACCAUGUAUACAUGUGCAUGUAUAUUAUACGCGUAUGUACUAACAAGUACACAUAGGUAUAUAAAUUAAAUAUAUAUAUAUAUAUGUAUGUAUGUACAACUAUUGUACAUAUGUGUACGCAUGUAUAUCUGCUGUGCUAUCGUAUGUACGAUAUUGGAUAUAAUUUGAAAGCGAUUCUUCAAUAUUACCUAUAUUUCGCGCGUAACGAAUAAAUAUAGGUGAAAAAAAAACUACGACAAAAAAAAAAAAAAAACCGAUAAAAAACGUAAAAUAAUGGGCAAAAAAAACGGGGUCAACGGGGAGUGUCGCUUUUUUUAUAUUUAUUUUUAUUCACGGUUUUUUUUUCUUCUCUCCUUUUUCCAUUCAAUAAUAUGUUACACGGUCCCACGUGUUGGUGUACGACGUAUCGCGUAAAAAGGGUUCUACGUAUAUGAAGUACAUACGUAAUUUACGCAAAGAAAAUGAUAGAAAACAAAAAAGAGAACGGGUAAAAAA
rnacentral:misc_RNA from 1 species